UCAAGUAUGUGAUGGUUCCUUACCUGUGC
rnacentral:piRNA from 1 species